rnacentral:tRNA from 1 species
AGCAGCAUGGCGCAGUGGUAGCGCGCGGGGCCCAUAACCCCGAGGUCACUUGAACGAAACAAGUUGCUGCUA